UCCUAAAUGUCAGGAAAAUUCCUAAUCUUUUAAAAAUUAUAGUAUAUUCACAUUAUUGUCUUUAAAUUGCUUUUAUCCCUAUACAUAUGUUAAUAGAUAGCCACAAUUUUUCGAGUGUAGUUUUGAGGAGGAGUUUUAGAGUUUAGUCUGUCACUGACGCAUGCAACCCACGAUAAGCAACCCCGACAGCAGAGGCCAUAGUAGGACAUAUCUGUCAUGUCCUCGGUAUCUGCCGCAGUUCCAUUUCCAUUUCCCGGCCGCUUUCCCAAUGCAUUUGGCCUGGCUCUUGAUGUUGGUCAGGGUGGGCCUGCCUGGCAGAUAAAUGGGUUUUGUGUAAAUUAGGGAAGCCCUAGCGAGUCACGUUUCCUGUGAAGCGGGGAGAGAUCUUCAUUUUUCAGCCGUGAGUCAUGCCCAAAAGGCUCGACCCAAUUGAUGGGUAAGUCCCUGUUUACGUCACAUCGGUGUCCUUAUUUGGCCGCAGUUCCAGUACAUGAACCCCAUCGGAUUGGAUCUCAAGGCUGUCUGCUAAACGCUCCACUGAUCAGACAGCUGGGUCUCUACGUGUCUUUGGAUCUUCUAUCCAUCGCCAAGGAAGUCGAGUCAUCAUCGAGUGACAAUUUCGGCAACAUUUCCUCCAUAAUUGGGCACACAAAGUCAGGCACUCGAGCUCACUUUCGGUAAUUGUUGUUAAGUAACAACGCGUGUGUAUCUUUGUAUCUUUUGGACCACUGGCCGCCUUAUAAGGCCGGCCGUUUGGAUUGCCCGUUUUGCAUAGCUAUCUGCAUCAGCUUGCCAUUUGCAGAACGAUCUGUUUGCGUCGAGACAACUGCCUUCUGGCUGUUGUUGUACAUGGGCGAUUACCAUUAUGGGUUUGCUCAACGCCCUCUGUAUGACGACGGCACAGGGGCGGCCACAAAAAUAGCAGAGCAGCUAUAACUAGUCCGUAGUAAAAGGGGUUUUUAAUAGGCUCUUAUGAUUAAUGAGAGGUCUUUAAUGACACAUGUAAGACAAUAAUCACCGAGUUUUAAAGAGAUUACAAGCAUCCAUGCAAGAGUACUCCGAAGAAUUAUCAUUUUAAAUGCAAAGAAAUCUUCCGGGUGUGAAAUUAAGAACCUGAUUGGACGGAUGGGCAAGUUCAAUUAGCUGCGCUAUUAUGCCGACCGCAAGUGUACGUGUAUGUAGCUGCCCCAACUCCUCUUGGUUAUGAAUUUAUUGGCUUGGAUCCAGAGAAGCGGAUCCCUGACUCAGCAGCGCCGCUGAUGGAAAACCUUUCGGCCAAUUUUCUCUCCAGCCUCGCGCUCUUUGUUGCAAUUGGCAGUCUCGCCAGCUGCUCCGACUCUUCGGGUUAAAUGAAUUGCUCCCACACAGAGUAGGAGCCUCGAGUCUCUCGGCUGCGAUGUAUUUAUAAGUUGUGCAUAUUUGCAUUGUGGGCCGUGCUGCUCCGUGCUCCUCGCCCGUGUCCCCGGUAUCCAUGAUAAUCGGCAGGCUUCACACGUUCCAUGGCGAUUUCUUUGUGCGAGCCCCGAACAGGGUGUGUUAUUCCUUUGUUGCAGUCCAGACGAGGAGACGAGUCGCCCGCCUGGAUGUGAAUCACUGAUGAGUGUGUGUCGCCCGCUGCUCCUGGGCUGCUCAAUUAUGCGAUUAACCCGCUACCACCUGCAUGCCGAUGCCGUUGUGGGCUCUGAAAAUGCAAAACUGCCCUCGUCGCCUGACUUUUGGACCUUGAAAUCAGACAGACGCCACCCCCGUUUGCGCAAAAAGAAAUAAAAGGAAAUCCCCCAAGGAUUAAAAGCAAGGCAAUCGAGGCAAGGAUUCGCAGGGGUGGCUUACAUGACGCUGCAUUUGGAACUGCACCAGCCGAAGGCCUCUGGCGGAUCUGGAGCAGGAGCCAGCCCAGCCGUCUGGGAUUUGUGAAAGUGAAUUUGCUACUCCACUUUUGGCCUGCAGGGUCUCUCCAGCCCACCAGCAUUGCAACCACCAUCAGCUAUGCAAACCGGGGGUUGCAAUUCCCCGGGAUUUUGUGCACAAAUUAAAUCAAUUUCGGUUUUAGCA